rnacentral:rRNA from 1 species
GUGGGGAAUCUUAGACAAUGGGGGCAACCCUGAUCUAGCCAUGCCGCGUGAGUGAUGAAGGCCUUAGGGUUGUAAAGCUCUUUCAGUGGGGAAGAUAAUGACGGUACCCACAGAAGAAGCCCCGGCUAACUCCGUGCCAGCAGCCGCGGUAAUACGGAGGGGGCUAGCGUUGUUCGGAAUUACUGGGCGUAAAGCGCACGUAGGCGGAUCGGAAAGUUGGGGGUGAAAGCCCAGGGCUCAACCCUGGAACUGCCUUCAAAACUAUCGGUCUGGAGUCCGAGAGAGGUGAGUGGAAUUCCGAGUGUAGAGGUGAAAUUCGUAGAUAUUCGGAGGAACACCAGUGGCGAAGGCGGCUCACUGGCUCGGUACUGACGCUGAGGUGCGAAAGCGUGGGGAGCAAACAGGAUUAGAAACCCUGGUAGUCC